GAUGAACGCUAGCUACAGGCUUAACACAUGCAAGUCGAGGGACCGGCGCACGGGUGAUUCACACGUAACCAACCUUCCCUUUACUCGGGGAUAGCCUUUCGAAAGACUGAUUACUACCCUAUAUAAAGUAUGGUGAUGCGUUCCAUUAGGUUGUUGGUGAGGUUACGGCUCACCAAGCAUUCGAUGUAGAGGGGUUCUGAGAGGAAGGUCCCCGACAAUGGAACGGAGAAACGAUCCAAAAGCCUACGGGAGGCAGCAGUGAGGAAUAUUGGUGAAUGGGCGCUAGCCUGAACCAGCCAAGUAGCGUGAAGGAUGAAGGAUUAUGGGUCUUAAACUUCUUUUAUAUAAGAAAAGGUAGGAGAAGAAUAAGGAUCGGCUAACUCCGUGCCAGCAGCCGCGGUAAUAC
rnacentral:rRNA from 1 species